rnacentral:rRNA from 1 species
AAUAUUGGACAAUGGGCGAAAGCCGGAUCAAGCCAUGCCGCGGGUGUGAAGAAGGUUUUCGGAUGGUAACGCACUUCAAGUUUGGAGGAAGGGCAGUAAGGUAAUACCUUGCUGUUUUGACGUUCCCAGCGGUAGUAGCACCGGAUAACUUCGUGCCAGCAGCCGCGGUAAUACGAAGGGUGCAAGCGUUAAUCGGAAUUACUGGGCGUAAAGCGCGCGUAGGUGGUUCGUUAAGUUGGAUGUGAUAGCCCCGGGCUCAACCUGGGAACUGCAUCCAAAACUGGCGAGCUAGAGUACGGUAGAGGGUGGUGGAAUUUCCUGUGUAGCGGUGAAAUGCGUAGAUAUAGGAAGGAACACCAGUGGCGCAGGCGACCACCUGGACUGAUACUGACACUGAGGUGCGAAAGCGUGGGGAGCAAACAGG